AUGACUGUUUUAUAUCACAAAUCAUCAGAACAUUACAGCCUGCUAAUGCAAAUCCUCUCUCUCUGUCUCUCUCUCGCUCUCUCUCACCAGCUGUGUGCCGGAGCAGGACCACAGCAUUUUAAUAAUGGUCAUUUGUGCGAUUAUUCCAAAGCAUCAGCGGCACGGAGGAAAGGGGAUUUCUCAUCGCCUCCUGCCCGCUCAUCUGCGGCAUUACUCAGUUUGCAGGCCAGCAAGGAGAAAGUUAAUAGCCUGGGCUUAGAAGUCAGCCUGCUCAAGUCCAAAUUACAGGAAAAGACAGAACAAUCUCAACAGCUGCAAGAUCAAAUUCUCAAACAGCAGGAGGCUCUAUAUAGGGCAAGCCAAACUCUCAAAGACACCAGGAAAGCAGCUGGCAAUAAGGUAAAAAGAGCCUCUCUCUCUUUCUCGCUCGCUCUCUCACCCCUCCUUCCAUAAAACAAGAAAAAAAGUGUCUCUGAACUUCUCUCCUCCCCUGUGAUGCUGAAUUCCCAUGAUGUGUUGUUUAGAAGAAUACGGAGUCUAUUACACAAAUUUUACAGUGUCUUAUCUAAAUUUCACCAUUCAGAGACAGCUUGUAUUUGUGUUGGCGUUCACUGAAACGCACACGUUACCGUAUUUUUGUAAUCACAGAGGACUAACUUUGUGUAGAAAGAAAACAGCACGGCUGUGUCAAAUCCAAACUGGCAAAGGAUCCAGUACUUUAAGUGUUUUCUCAACAGAGCAGAGCUGUCUUCUUAUUUUUGCUUUAAAUGAAUAUCAGAUGAAGAGGGGUGGAAAUGUCCAAAUGUGAAGCUUCAAAUGGGUUAACCUAAUUUUCCCUGAGACAAAGUAGGUGUUUGGCGAUAUACAUUUAAUUCCUCCGCUGCACAAACAACCAUCCAUUUAACCUCUUGACCCCUGUGAAUAAAUAUAUGCAUAGGAGAACAUAAGUGUCUGGCAAUGGGUUUCAGUUAAUCUCUGGGACUUUUAUCUUCUUAGGCAAAGCAAACAGACGUUAAGUUCGGCAUGGGUCCCGUUACUUUUUCCACAUCUGGUUCUGUUUCGCUGCAAAAACCUUCUCUCUGAUCUCAUAUGUUGAACUACUGUAACUUUGCCACUGUCUGUUUCCUGUUGAAAAAAAGGGAGAGGAGGAGGAAAAAUGCAUUGGACAAUAAUAUCUUUUGUUCCAGAGAAGUUCCUCCGUUAGCGCAGCUGAACAAAUAGCCUUAAUAGUUUGGUUUGAAAGAACUCCUCCCAUCGCCGGUGUCUGAUAUUUAUGCUUUCAGCGGCGCUGGACCAAGACCUUCAUUUUCAUUUUUCAGGCUGCAUUUCUCUGGAUUUGUUUGAACAGAUCAUCCUUUCCACACAGAGGAAUGAGGUACACAUAGGGGUUUGUUUUUUUUCCCCCUUUCCAAAUUCUACUAAAUUAAUAAGACGUCAAAGACAACAAAACCCAGUGUUUUACUUGCUUGAACCUGGCCUCCAUUAGUGAGGAGACAUGAGGGAAGAUAAUUUGUUCCUCUGAAGUUAGUGCACAUCACAGGAGAGAGACAAUAACAAAGGCAUCCGCAGCGGGGGCCAUGAUACAUUUCAUUCCUCCUCACAUUGCCCAUCUGCCCCUGCUGCCGACUGGCCAGAGUUUAUUUUAUUUUAUUUUAUUUUAUUUUAUUUUGACAAUUUUACACUUUAAAUUUAGUCUAUUUUAUGUAAUUUACUAUUUUGAAUUGUUUAGUAUUGUAUUAAAUUAUAGUUGAUGAAAAAUGAAACCAAACAAUCCAAAAUCACACACACACGUGUAUAUAUAUAUAUAUAUAUAUAUAUAUAUAUAUAUAUAUAUAUAUAUAUAGGAAAGAUAUUUGGAAAGAAGUCUCUUAUUUAUAUUUAUUUUAUCAAAAAUACAGUAAAAACAGUAAUAUUUUAUUGUGAAAUAUGAUUACAAUUUAAAAUAAUUGUUUUGUAUUUUUAUAUAUUUUAAGAUUUUAUUUUUUUUCUCACGAUCCUUCAAAAAUAAUUCUAAUAUGCUAUUUUGGACUUUGCAUGUUACAUUUCAUAUUUUGAGUGGACGAAAUUGACCCUGGCUGUCAGAAUGACUUUGCAGUUCUCCUUUAAUGUCAGUCCCAACUCUCCUCUUAGAAGAACUCUUGUCAACUCUUUCUGUUCACAAAAUCUUAAUAAACCCGCUUCUCCAUAAAUAUUGGAUGUGAGUGUCACUCACUCUAUUUGUUUAUUUGCUUGUUUGUUGGUUGGAUAUAUCACACUUAUUCCCAGAUCUCUCUCUGUUCUCUGUAUAGGAUGUCUAAACGUCAGAUGGGAUUCUCUUUUUGUCAGUAUUUGAAGCCGGGGAGUGUGUGCAGGGAGGGGCCGUGGAGAUACAAGAUGUAGUGAUUGAUUUAAAAAUACCUCCUCCUCCUUGAUUUCAGGGGCUUCCUGUCCAUAAUGCAUGUCUUUUAGCGUAAAGUUCUCGUCUAAAAGUUGUGAGUGAUUGACCCAGUUGGUGGUGGGUUGUGCUACGUGCUAGCUGCUUGUGACAUGUUUCGCUUUGCUAAAUAAUCAACAAAGGCUUGCGGCUGUCACAAAGUGGCAGCAGCGUUACUUAUCAAGAGUGCAGUUUAUAGUAGUACUUCACAUUAUUUUUGUAAUACUUCUUAUGCGUCUUGUCUAAUGCACCAUAAUGCGAUUCCAUAUGUCUUUGACCUUUAUAUUGGGGUAAGCUUACUACUUCUAAGAUGCGCCUCGAUUUUAUUACUUUUGCUCUGUAACAAAGAACAUCUGUUUUACUCUGCAGAAAAUUCAGUUUAGUCUUAAAAUGAUUUAUCUGAUGGUCUAAAUAAGCUUCUGUAGUUUGACAUUUAAUUUGAGUUUGGAAUAUCAAAAAGGUACAAUGGAAACAAAGUGUAUAACAACAAAUACAGCAUUGUUUUGCUACCUCCAUUCCUGCAUUUCUAAUGUGCUAUAAAAGCUGAUUUGCUUUUAAUGUUUCAUGAGAAGGUUACAUCCUUCUUUUAGGAGCGAUGCAUUCACGCUUUGCUUUUUGUCUUCGUUUUUUUUUUUUUUUUUUCUCCCCAUGCUUUCAGAUGAGGUUAAUGUCAGUCGCUGUGCACUGGAGCACAUCAGAUGUCAGGCCUAUGCAAUCGUGCUACAAUGAGCCUGUUUAAUGUGCUUUGGAAGGGUGUAACGCAAUAUAUUAUGCAUGCAUGAAAUGUACAAACACAAUAAAAUUAUGCACUACAGAUAUGAUACAGUUCUCUCAAGUCUUGCGGAGGCACUCUGUGAUACAUUUUAAAUGCAAUUUUUUUGUGGCCGGCGGCAAAAUGAUGCUGCUGUCUAAUGGUGCAUUCAUGGCCAUUGAAGAACUCGCUUACACGUACACACAUGCACUCACUCUCACACACUCAUUUUGUUGUGCAAGCUUCAGAUGACCUGUGAGCUUUCUGAAUACCUAGAAUUAUUUAUAAUUUUGUAUUAAACUGAGUAUGUGAGUGUUUCUGGCCUUUAUAUGUUAAGAUUUCAUCUUUUUUUUUUCUUUUUUGUGAAAUAAAGGUCACAUUGAAAUUUUUUACUAUGCCUUCAUAAUUUCAUUUUUUUACAUUUCUAAAGGCCUUUUGUGUAUGUAUUUAAUAGUUUUAAUCUUAU
ensembl:lncRNA